rnacentral:rRNA from 1 species
UACGUAGGGUGCAAGCGUUAAUCGGAAUUACUGGGCGUAAAGCGUGCGCAGGCGGUUAUGUAAGACAGAUGUGAAAUGCCCGGGCUUAACCUGGGAACUGCAUUUGUGACUGCAUGGCUAGAGUUUGGCAGAGGGGGGUAGAAUUCCACGUGUAGCAGUGAAAUGCGUAGAUAUGUGGAGGAACACCGAUGGCGAAGGCAGCCCCCUGGGUCAAGACUGACGCUGAGAAGCGAAAGCAUGGGGAGCGAACAGG